rnacentral:rRNA from 1 species
GUAAAAGUCGUAACAAGGUUUCCGUAGGUGAACCUGCGGAAGGAUCAUUACCUAGAGUUGUAGGCUUUGCCUGCUAUCUCUUACCCAUGUCUUUUGAGUACCUUCGUUUCCUCGGUGGGUUCGCCCGCCGAUUGGACAAAACUUAAACCCUUUGUAGUUGCAAUCAGCGUCUGAAAAAACUUAAUAGUUACAACUUUCAACAACGGAUCUCUUGGUUCUGGCAUCGAUGAAGAACGCAGCGAAAUGCGAUAAGUAGUGUGAAUUGCAGAAUUCAGUGAAUCAUCGAAUCUUUGAACGCACAUUGCGCCCCUUGGUAUUCCAUGGGGCAUGCCUGUUCGAGCGUCAUUUGUACCUUCAAGCUCUGCUUGGUGUUGGGUGUUUGUCUCGCCUUUGCGUGUAGACUCGCCUCAAAACAAUUGGCAGCCGGCGUAUUGAUUUCGGAGCGCAGUACAUCUCGCGCUUUGCACUCAUAACGACGACGUCCAAAAAGUACAUUUUUACACUCUUGACCUCGGAUCAGGUAGGGAUACCCGCUGAACUUAA